UGGAACUGCAGAUUUCAGCUGUGUGAAGAGGGUGAAUGUGGACACCAGGAGGACGUAGGAGUCGUGUGCUCAGAGUUCAAAGAGAUCCGACUAACGGAGGGCUGUGAGGGGAAUCUGGAAGUGUUCUACAAUGGAACCUGGGGUAAUGUGUGUCACAAUCAGAUGGAGUUAGAAACAGUAGAUAUGGUGUGUCGAGAGCUGAACUGUGGAAGACGUGAACAUUUGGACUCGGCCAGAGCGAGAGUCGAAUCUGCUCCUGACUGGCUGGAUUAUCUGAAGUGUAGGAAACACGACUCUAAUCUGUGGCAGUGUCCAUCUUCACCCUGGGGACAGAACAGAUGUGAUAAUCGUGAUGAGGUGGCUCGUAUUACCUGCACAGAUGAUGGAAAGUCUCUACGUACACAAGAAAAGUGCUCUUCAUUUCCCUCUCAG
ensembl:lncRNA